rnacentral:misc_RNA from 1 species
UCGUACAACGGGGGUGCAAAGGCUGUCGCUGACCUUUCAAAAGGUCGUGCACGCUCGAGCACUCCCAUACAUCCAUCUCACCUUUGUGCAUCACCGCGUGGGUCCCCUUUGCAAGGAGGGCUCACGUUUUCACACAAAAACUUGAUACAGUGUAGAAUGUUAUUUUUGCGGUCACACGCAAUCAAUA